GCCUGGCUGGCUCAGUCAGUGGAGCAUGCGACUCUUGAUCUUAGGGUCGUGAGUUCAACCCCCACAUUAGGCA
rfam:Ailuropoda melanoleuca scaffold2882_48, whole genome shotgun sequence.